GCCAGUGACCAGCUGGGCAAACAGCUGAUGCACGCGUGAAGCACUUUCACGCGUGCAUCAACAGUGCGAAGGUAAUUAAAUUACCUUCGCACUGUUCAAAUGCAAUUUGAACACAGAAGAGCAAAAACAAAGGGAAACGGGCGCACCUGUUUCUGGAGAUUGCGAAGAAGGCUGCAACGCUGGUGGGGUUCGACUGCUUUCCGUUUCUGGCGAUGGUGAAGAAAGCUGCAACGCCGGACUGUUAUCUUCCACGAACGAGAUCGUGGGCGAGAGACGUGGUCCUCGAUUGGAUCGAAUCCGUUGCAGAUUUUCAGCCUGUUGAAUCGGGAUGGAGAAGACGAACACGGCUGUUCUACCAGCAGCGACGACGUUUCGGCAGGAAUGGAUUCCACCAGCAACGGCGACGUUUCAAGCAGCAAUGGACAUUUUCAUUUUGACCCCUGAACUUUGGAAAUUCGGCAAUUGGACCUCUAAGAAAUUAAAAAUUCCUUUUAAUUUUGUCCCUUUGGAUUAAUUUCAAUUAAAUCCUUAAAUUAUAACACUGUUUACAAAACAGUCCUUAAUUCCUGGAUUGUUCAAUUUAACCCUUAAUUAAAUCUUUAACUUUUAAUUCUUUCAAAA